UACGUAGGGGGCUAGCGUUGUCCGGAAUCAUUGGGCGUAAAGCGCGUGUAGGCGGUCCGGUAAGUCCGCUGUGAAAGUCGGGGGCUCAACCCUCGAAUGCCGGUGGAUACUGUCGGGCUAGAGUGCGGAAGAGGCGAGUGGAAUUCCUGGUGUAGCGGUGAAAUGCGUAGAUAUCUGGAGGAACACCGGUGGCGAAGGCGACAUCCUGGACCGGCAUUGACGCUGAGGCGCGAAAGCUAGGGGAGCAAACGGG
rnacentral:rRNA from 1 species